AUGCAAGAUAAAGCUCAAUUGCCUCUUAGAAAUGAAAAAAGCUGGCACACAGGAAGCUGCCCAUAAUCCCUGACCCCUGAGAGCUUCAAGACAUAAAGCAACAAUCAAGAUUUUCUUCAAGGGAGGAUUGUGAAGUAACCAAGCUUUGCUACGCAGGUGAGAGCAAUGGAGCAGAGAAGUAGCAUGAGCCUUUUCCUGAGCCUCUCCUGCUUGGCUGCCAGCCCCGGCUCCUGCAGUGUCUGUCUAGAAGAGCACUCAGAGUGAAAACCAGGCUUUGCUGAUGGUGCAGAGGGAGGAUCUCAGCAGCUGGGUGCACACAGUGAAUGAAUUGCAGCCACCUGAGGGGAAUCUGCAGGUGCCAGGUUCCACCUCCGGGCCUGGCCGGUGCCAUUCCGACAACGCUGCCGGGGCCCGAACGAUGCGGAGGUCCGUGAGCUGUGCCAAGAAGAGCCAGGCAUGCCGAGAGCCGGUGACGUAUUUUGCGAAUCCCGGUGUUUUUCCGGGCGUGUUUUUCCCCUUGGAGUGGGGGGCUCUGCGGGGUGCGCUGUGCGAGGUAAUCGGGCAGCAGCGACGGCCUGGGCAGGGGUGGAACCUGAAGGGGGUUUGCACAACGCACGGUGUCGGCUGGAAGGGGCGGAGGGGCUCGGGGCAAGCGGCGGUGGGAAGGGAGCCCGCGGCGG